rnacentral:rRNA from 1 species
GGACUACACGGGUUUCUAAUCCUGUUUGCUCCCCACGCUUUCGUGCCUCAGUGUCAGUGUUGGCCCAGGCAGUCGCCUUCGCCACGGAUGUUCCUCCUGAUCUCUACGCAUUUCACUGCUACACCAGGAAUUCCACUACCCUCUGCCACACUCUAGUCGACCAGUUUCCAUCGCCAUUCCCAGGUUGAGCCCAGGGCUUUCACGACAGACUUAAUCAACCACCUACGCACGCUUUACGCCCAGUAAUUCCGAGUAACGCUUGCACCCUUCGUAUUACCGCGGCUGCUGGCAC